AACGAACGCUGGCGGCAGGCUUAACACAUGCAAGUCGAACGCCCCGCAAGGGGAGUGGCAGACGGGUGAGUAGCGCGUGGGAAUCUACCCAGAUCUACGGAACAACAGUUGGAAACGACUGCUAAUACCGUAUACGCCCUACGGGGGAAAGAUUUAUCGGAUUUGGAUGAGCCCGCGUUGGAUUAGCUAGUUGGUGGGGUAAUGGCCUACCAAGGCGACGAUCCAUAGCUGGUCUGAGAGGAUGAUCAGCCACACUGGGACUGAGACACGGCCCAGACUCCUACGGGAGGCAGCAGUGGGGAAUAUUGGACAAUGGGCGCAAGCUUGAUCCAGCCAUGCCGCGUGAGUGAUGAAGGCCUUAGGGUUGUAAAGCUCUUUCACCGAUGAAGAUAAUGACGGUAGUCGGAGAAGAAGCCCCGGCUAACUUCGUGCCAGCCGCCGCAGUAAGAC
rnacentral:rRNA from 1 species